UUGGCCAAAUUUCACGUCUCAUUCUUUCCAUCAUAUAAAACACAUCUGCACAAGAGUAGUUCAUCUUCAGUUUUCAGAAAGCGAGGAGGAGAAGGUAUUUGUGCAUCGUUUCUCAUUUGAGAAGGCUACAAUCCGCAGGUCCUAGCUGACAACGUCUCGGAUAUAGGACAAUUUAUUCUCAGGGACAUGGCAGAUAUGGAGCCUCUGAUCAUUCUCCUUCUGCUAGCAGGACUAGCAGGGAAGACAUCAGCAACAGACACAACAGCAAUAGAGGUCAUUGUACCAACACAACCCCCAGCAGCCACAACAACUUCAGCUGUGGAUACAACAACAAAAGCUGUUCCUACAUCAACCACAGCUGUUCCACAAACAACAACAGCUGCUCCCACAACAAACACAGCGGAUCCACCAACAACCACAGCUGCUCCCACAACAACCACAGCUGCUCCCACAACAACCACAGAAUCUCCCACAACAAUCACAGUUGCUGCCACAACAACCACAGCUGUUCCCACAACAACCACAACUGCUCCCAUAUCAACAACAGCUGCUCUCCCAACAACCACAGCCUCUCCAACAACAAACACAGCGGCUGCCACAACAACCACAGCUACUCCCACAACAACCACAACUGCUCCAACAACAACCA